GGGCCGUCUGAGGAACAGCAGCCACAAGGCCUCUGACUAUGGCAUCACAGAUGUCUCAGGGAUUCCAUAAGAUGACAAUGAUUUUCACCAAGGGCCAUGAGGCCGUCCUCAGUUAUCAGGUGUGCGAUGAUGAGCAAUCUGCAGGGAAGCUGCCCACAGAGAACUCACAGUCUAGUGAGGGAGAUAAAUGCUCUCUCCCAGGAAACAUCCCCGCUGCUCCUCUAACCAUAAAGGUGCCUAUGUGCCUAGCUCUAGCCCUAAGGAAAGAGCAGAUCAGGGCACAAAGAUUGGUCUCACAGAUCACCCUGGUAAUGCUGACGAGACAGGUUAACAGCAGAAGAGCUUUGAGUCUCCACAAGACAGUGUACAACAACGUCAGUGCAUUUUCAAUUUGAAGAUUUCUCCAGCACUCAAUAUACACCCUAUGUUAUUAUUAUUGUUUGAUAUAUAAACAUAAAGUAUAAAACAAAAC
rnacentral:lncRNA from 1 species